CCCUUAGAUGUCCGGGGCUGCACGCGCGCUACACUGUAGAAAGCAGCGUGCUUUAAAACCUUUCCUGAAAAGGAUGGGUAACCCCAGCAAAAUUCUACGUGCUUGGGAUAGAGAUUUGCAAUUUUCUCUCUUGAACGAGGAAUUCCCAGUAAGUGCGAGUCAUCAGCUCGCGUUGAUUACGUCCCUGCCCUUUGUACACACCGCCCGUCGCUCCUACCGAUUGAGUGGUCCGGUGAGGCUUUGGGAUCUGAGCGGAAAGAGCGUUUCGCUGUUUCUGCUCGGAAAACUCAGUCGAACCUUAUCAUUUAGAGGAAGGAGAAGUCGUAACA
rnacentral:rRNA from 1 species